rnacentral:rRNA from 1 species
ACUACGGGUGGCAGCAGUGAGGAAUAUUGGUCAAUGGACGAGAGUCUGAACCAGCCAAGUAGCGUGAAGGAUGACUGCCCUAUGGGUUGUAAACUUCUUUUAUAUGGGAAUAAAAUGUUCCACGUGUGGGAUUUUGUAUGUACCAUAUGAAUAAGGAUCGGCUAACUCCGUGCCAGCAGCCGCGGUAAUACGGAGGAUCCGAGCGUUAUCCGGAUUUAUUGGGUUUAAAGGGAGCGUAGGUGGAUUGUUAAGUAAGUGGUGAAAUAUUGCGGCUCAACAUUAAAAUUGCAGUUGAAACUGGCAGUCUUGAGUACAGUUGAGGUGGGCGGAAUUUGUGGUGUAGCGGUGAAAUGCUUAGAUAUCACGAAGAACUCCGAUUGCGAAGGCAGCUUACUGGACUGCAACUGACACUGAGGCUCGAAAGUGUGGGUAUCAAACAGGAUUAGAUACCCGAGUAGUC